rnacentral:rRNA from 1 species
AGAUUUUACCUCGUACCUUUUGCAUCAUGAUUUAGCUAGAACCAUUCAAGCAAAGAGCACUUUAGUUUGAACCCCCGAAACUACGUGAGCUACUCCAAGGCAGCCUAUUUAUAGGGCAAACCCGUCUCUAUGGCAAAAGAGUGGGAAGAACUUUGAGUAGGGGUGAUAGACCUAUCGAACCUAGUUAUAGCUGGUUGCCUGAGAAAUGAAUAGGAGUUCAGCCUCCUAGCUUCUCCCUUCACCACGAUUUCACCCAUCGAUAUUAAAGAAGCUAAGAGAGUUAGUCAAAGGGGGUACAGCCCCUUUGAAACAAGAUACAACUUUCCCAGGAGGGUAAAGAUCAUAAUCACUAAAGGUAAAAAUGCCCUGGUGGGCCUAAAAGCAGCCACCCCUAAAGAAAGCGUUAAAGCUCGAGCAUUAACCCCACCCAUAUAUUCAGAUAAUAUAAUCCUAACCCCCUAAUAAUAUCAGGCUACCUCAUGCAAACAUGAGAGUAUUAAUGCUAAUAUGAGUAAUAAGAGAGACCCGUCUCUCUCCUUGCACACGUGUAU